CGGGACCAUCUGACCGGACUACCAAGCUUGACUAUCAAGCCGUUAUCUUUCAUUUAGUCAAUACCAGUGCCCGCUAAAAAGCUUAGCUUACAGUGGUGCUUGAAUAAGGGGAAUCCGAUAUUGAAUAGAGUGCUGCAACAAAUUGUCAUUGUUCAUUUUCAUUUGCUUUGUUCUCUUUGACUGAUCAAAAAAUUCAGAAAGACUUGUCGGAAAUCAGAAAUCAGCGGUUGGCGUAGGGCUGAAUAUAAAAUAUGUUCUUUGA
rnacentral:lncRNA from 1 species